CGAACGCUGGCGGCGUGCUUAACACAUGCAAGUCGAACGGAAAGGCCCUGCUUUUGUGGGGUGCUCGAGUGGCGAACGGGUGAGUAACACGUGAGUAACCUGCCCUUGACUUUGGGAUAACUUCAGGAAACUGGGGCUAAUACCGGAUAGGAGCUCCUGCUGCAUGGUGGGGGUUGGAAAGUUUCGGCGGUUGGGGAUGGACUCGCGGCUUAUCAGCUUGUUGGUGGGGUAGUGGCUUACCAAGGCUUUGACGGGUAGCCGGCCUGAGAGGGUGACCGGCCACAUUGGGACUGAGAUACGGCCCAGACUCCUACGGGAGGCAGCAGUGGGGAAUAUUGCACAAUGGGCGGAAGCCUGAUGCAGCAACGCCGCGUGCGGGAUGACGGCCUUCGGGUUGUAAACCGCUUUCGCCUGUGACGAAGCGUGAGUGACGGUAAUAGGUAAAGAAGCACCGGCUAACUACGUG
rnacentral:rRNA from 1 species